rnacentral:lncRNA from 1 species
AGAGAGAGAGAGAGAGAGAGAGAGAGAGGAGACAAAAUCAUUAACAGACCCAAGACUAGAGUGUUUCAGAAAAGUUCGAUAGAAUUAACUAUUUUAAACAGGAUUAGAUUAGUUGGGAUAAAAGUAUAAAAGAUCUAAUCAAGAAGAACCAUAUCAGAUUUCCAGCAAGAAUUGGUCUAGAAACCCUUCCAUCCACGACCUCAAGACUGAGAGGGGUCCUAGGAUAAAUUCUUCUUCAGGAACCAUAAACAAGAAAGAAUUACCGAUGGAUCUAAUAAAAUUCUUCUUGAGGGAAUCAGUUCAUGAAAUUUUCUAAAAGAUAAAGAUACAAAACCAGAUAUCCAUGCAAGAUUAAGCAAAGAAAAUGAAAAGAAAAAAAAAACUAAAAGGGCCUGUAAAAAUUCAGCAAGCAUCCAAAAUCCAUACAUACAUAUAUAUAAAAAAACUUCGUUUCCUUCAAAUAAAGGGACAGAAAGCCCCUACAUCCAUUAAAACAAAAGAAAACCAUAAUGAAAAAAAAA